rnacentral:rRNA from 1 species
AUUGAACGCUGGCGGCAGGCCUAACACAUGCAAGUCGAGCGGAUGAAGGGAGCUUGCUCCCGGAUUCAGCGGCGGACGGGUGAGUAAUGCCUAGGAAUCUGCCUGGUAGUGGGGGAUAACGUCCGGAAACGGGCGCUAAUACCGCAUACGUCCUGAGGGAGAAAGUGGGGGAUCUUCGGACCUCACGCUAUCAGAUGAGCCUAGGUCGGAUUAGCUAGUUGGUGGGGUAAAGGCCUACCAGGGCGACGAUCCGUAACUGGUCUGAGAGGAUGAUCAGUCACACUGGAACUGAGACACGGUCCAGACUCCUACGGGAGGCAGCAGUGGGGAAUAUUGGACAAUGGGCGAAAGCCUGAUCCAGCCAUGCCGCGUGUGUGAAGAAGGUCUUCGGAUUGUAAAGCACUUUAAGUUGGGAGGAAGGGCAGUAAGUUAAUACCUUGCUGUUUUGACGUUACCAACAGAAUAAGCACCGGCUAACUUCGUG